rnacentral:rRNA from 1 species
UUGACGGGGCCCGCACAAGCGGAGGAACAUGUGGUUUAAUUCGAUGAUACGCGAGGAACCUUACCUGGGCUUAAAUGUAGAGUGCAUUUUUAGAGAUAGAAAUUCCCUUCGGGGCUUUCUGCAAGGUGCUGCAUGGUUGUCGUCAGCUCGUGCCGUGAGGUGUCGGGUUAAGUCCCAUAGCGAGCGCAACCCUUAUCGUUAGUUGCCAUCUGGUAAUGCAGGGGACUCUAGCGAAACUGCCACCGUAAGGUGAGAGGAAGGUGGGAUGACGUCAAAUCAGCACGGCCCUUAUGUCCAGGGCUACACACGUGUUACAAUGGUCGGUACAGAGGGCAGCUACCUGGUGACAGGAUGCUAAUCUCGAAAACCGGUCUCAGUUCGGAUCGAAGUCUGCAACUCGACUUCGUGAAGCUGGAUUCGCUAGUAAUCGCGCAUCAGCUAUGGCGCGGUGAAUACGUUCCCGGGCCUU